rnacentral:lncRNA from 1 species
GUAAGGAUAGAGGACAAGGAGUAAGGAAGGAGGGCAGGGAGUAAGGAUGGAGGACAAGGAUAAGGGUGGAGGACAAGAAGCAAGGAUGGAGGACGUGGGUGGAGGACAGGGAAUGAGGAUGGAGGGCAUGGAUGGAGGACAAGAUGUAAGGAUGGAGGACAAGAUGUAAGGAUGGAGGGCAUGGAUGGAGGACAAGGAAUAAGAGUGGAGGACAGAGAAUAAGGAUGGAGGACAAGGAGUAAGGAUGGAGAGCGUGGAUGGAGGACAAGGAGUAAGGAUGGAGGACAAGGAUAAGGGAUGCAGGACAAGGAUAAGGAUGGAGGACAGGGAU